GUUCACGCUUGGCAGCUCCACGUCGACAUUCUUCCAGCUGCACAGCUUUCUGCACUGAAAUGGAAACUCAAGUUACAGCGGUGGAAAAGCACACGAACAGUUUGCGGAAAGUCCACGGAGGGCAAGAUAGCUGCACAGUUAGCUUAUAAAAUACUUGUCAUGUGUUUCGGCGGUUGUCUUGACAAUGUUCGAAAGUAACUUUUUUGUAUUUUGUGAUCUAUCUCUCGUUUUGGACUGCAGCUGGUAACUAACCUCUUUCACGUCACCCAGCCAGCGGCUGAGAGCUUGCGAGGACGACGAGGACACGGAUGUGCCGAGGUUCUCCGAGCGAAGUUCUGCAGUACACUAAGACUCUUACCUGUCUGCAGUCAGUGCAUUACAGAACUUUGUUUUGAGAGUUUGAUGCUCCGGCUUGGACAAUGUGGCUGCUUUGGAGGGCAACGGAUUCCAUAUGGUACUGCUCAGUUCUGCUUAAUAUGAUCUGUCUCUAUUGAAAUAAAGUUAUUUGUGAUGGUAGAUUACCUUGGUACCCUUCAUUUGGUUUUUAUGAUUACCUGCUAUUUGACAACCCGCAAAGUUAAAAAAAAAUAAUAAUGGUAAUAGUUAUAGCAUUGGUUCGGGACUACUCAGACAAAAAAUUAGUAGCUAUAACUAUUUAACUAUUUAGUUUUUAAAAAGCUUGCAUUCUAUAUUAAAGCGUCAGUUGUGUAUGAAUAAAACGUCCAGCUCAGCUUUGCGUGUGAAUGCGUAGAGUGCGCAUGCGUCAUGUUGGAGGGUUCUGCGGUUUCCAAUCGGACGCUGUGUGUGGUGUAAUGCAGGUAAUCCCUGCAGAAUUUGUCUCACUUCUGCUGCUGCCUUACCACGUGGCUCGAAGACCAGCGAAAGUAAACCGGAAACGGGCUCUUAAACUGGGAGUUUCAGGCCUGUCAUUACAUCUGUACUGUUAUAACUGUGACAUAACUCGUAUGAGAAGUCUUUUCACAGACAGGCAUUGUUAAACUAUUCAUGUCAUCACACUUUGGUCUCCACUGAUUUAACUAGAUUUCAAAUUUACAUUUAAUCUGAACGCCGAAUGUGAAUGGUCUAAAUGAACUGUGUUUAUCAAUAAAGAAAAACUAUGGCACAGGGAAGUCAACUGAUUAUUUUACUGGUUUCUGUGGUGCGUUUGUGUUACGUGUGGAAUAUUUUGAAAUGAUUAAACAUGCUAAAAUGUAUGUGUACUAUAAGACUGUAAAAUAUAUUUUGUGUGAUUUUUUUUGUAUGCUUAUGACUUUUUCUGGACAAAAUUGGAUAUUUUAUGUGUAAGAAAACAAGUUUGGGAUGUAACCCUUUGGAAAAGAGAAUCUGUUGAAAAUCACUGCAUUCUUCAUGUAAAUAUUCAUGUAAAUAUUUAUCUGUAUGGAUUCCUGAAGCUGUAAAAGUCUACAUGUUAAUAUUUGAUUGAAAGCCAGAGUUUUUUCUUUGUACAUAAAUAAUAUAAAAACUCUGAAACAACUGUACAGAAUUGGUUUGCUCAAGUGAAAUGCACACCUUUCUAAGAAUAUGGACUUUGAAAAAGAGAAGUUGCACAAAGUGAUUUCAAGUACAAGCAUCAGACUGAAGCAAGAGCCACAAGCAGCAGCUCUUGCAGAUGCGCAUGUACACUGCUGAGUACAGAGAAACCUUUACAUGACAGUAACCUGAACAACCUGGUGGCUUUUUGACUGUUAAAUCUUCAUGAUCUUUCCUAGUUCAGUGUGUCUUUAUGGUCACUCUGCCCAUUAAGGUAAGGACUGGUGUCUGAAAACAUAUCACGUUCAUGCUAACUGCAGUUAUGCUUUCGUCUAUUUUUUUUGCACCUCUGUGCGCCAUGUUUCAAAAAAGUGUAAUUGGAAGCUCCACAGGGGCAGUUCACAAUUUGGCUUUGCAUUGCCCAAGGGAUACAGUAUGUGAGAGGGAUUCAUUGUUCCUUGCUCGAGUGACCCUUGUUACUGCAUGUGUGAUUGGUUCUCCUCCACCUCUGCUCUGCGCAUGUGCGGCUGGUGGCUGCAGUGUGAAAAGAAGAAUCUGGCUGGCAACACGUGUUUCGAAGGAGAACCGUGCGUUGUCGUCACUCUCCCGAGCUGCCAGCAGGGGGCGCACAUGAGCAUAGUUUGCAAAUUGGACAUUCCAAAUUUGGGUGGGAUUGAAGAUGCCAAAUAAAAAAAAGAAAAAAAAUUUAUUACUGAAAUUAACCAAGCAUUCUACUAUUAAGACACCAUUGAGUUUAUGACAAAAUGCAUUGAAUGCUCACAACUUUUUUUUCCCCAUAAGCCUGUAAGAUUAGCAAGAACACUGGAACCUCUUUCUUUACAACUUUAUACAUACUCAAUCAUCAUUGUAAAUGCCUUUGUAUUUGCCAUUUGAAUGCAUAUGUAUAUAGAUUAAAGUUUCUAUAGCACAGUC